rnacentral:rRNA from 1 species
CCUACGGGGGGCAGCAGUGAGGAAUAUUGGUCAAUGGACGAGAGUCUGAACCAGCCAAGUAGCGUGAAGGAUGACUGCCCUAUGGGUUGUAAACUUCUUUUAUAAGGGAAUAAAAUGUGGCACGUGUGGGAUUUUGUAUGUACCAUAUGAAUAAGGAUCGGCUAACUCCGUGCCAGCAGCCGCGGUAAUACGGAGGAUCCGAGCGUUAUCCGGAUUUAUUGGGUUUCAAGGGAGCGUAGGGGGCUUGUUAAGUCAGUUGUGAACGUUUGCGGCUCAACCGUAAAAUUGCAGUUGAAACUUGCAGUCUUGAGUACAGUAGAGGUGGGCGGACUUCGUGGUGUCGCGGUGAACUGCUUCGAUCUCAC